AAGAAGUCGCUCAGUCAGUUUGUCCCCUUUAAACAGAGCGGUUUAAAUGAACAAUUAUUGCUGCAGAGCAUCCAGUCAAAUAUUCAUUUCUCUAUUGCACAAAAGACAGACUUUUUACGGUGAUAAAGUAAUUGUCAGGGUAAAACUUUAGUUUUUUCUGCUUCACUUUGCACACACUCACCAAAAUCACCACACACUCCUAUUGGUGUUUGGUUUUAAUCCUCUUCAGCCAGUGGCUAGCGGUUCCACCGCAGAAACGGUAGAGCUCAUUUAGCAGAUUCUGGUUUUCCAUACGGACUCAGCCUGUAAAUGUAGUCCGUGCAUUUUCAACGGAUUUAGGUUGGAGACCAUUUUCCCUGUUGCAACACCCAACUGUGCUCAUGUUUCUAAAGGUAAAUGAGGUGUGGAAAUGGAGGCAUUUCAUUCUUAAGUUGUUAUUAGAGCUCUGCACACGUUGCAACCGUGUGUUGCUCGUUUUUGUUUUUUUAAAUAACCAAUGUUUUAAAAAUUAUACUUUUAUAAUAUCAUAUAAUUUAUUUAUUUUUUAUUUUUGUAAUGUAACCGUGCCUCGGAGAGCUUUUGCCGCGACGCCAUCUUGGAUAUUCUCCAAGUCAAAAAUACGGAGCAUGUGUGACGCGCCAUCACACGUCUGGACGCUUUGGAGCCGACAAGAUCAGCGGCUGGGCAGGCGCCUUCACGAUUCCAAGGAAUUUAACUCCUAGCAACCGGUUCUCGAUUGGAGGAUUAGUGCCGUUGUAUAUAGCUAGUAAAUUUCAGUCAAAAAUAUCAAAUUUUCUAAUAAAACAUUGGAAACUUGUUUGACUUUUGAAGUCUGAAAUUUCCAUGGUUUUUCUUGAGAAUUUCUGAGAUUAAUCUCAAAAUUUUCAGUGUUUUGGUGGAAAUUUACUCCUCUUUUUUUUCUAUGUACAACAGCCCUAAUAUGCUAUCUUAUGGAUUCCCAUCCCACAGUUUUGUUGAUAUGUGACAUACUUGAGCUUGUACGUAUAAUUUUGACCUGGUGUGGAUUUGGUAAAAAAAAAAAAAAAAAA